UACGGGGGGAGCAAGCGUUGUUCGGAUUUACUGGGCGUAAAGGGCGCGUAGGCGGUCGUGACAAGUCACUUGUGAAAUCUCCGGGCUUAACUCGGAACGGUCAAGUGAUACUGUCGGACUAGAGUACAGAAGGGGCAACUGGAAUUCUCGGUGUAGCGGUGAAAUGCGUAGAUAUCGAGAGGAACACCUGCGGCGAAGGCGGGUUGCUGGGCUGAUACUGACGCUGAGGCGCGAAAGCCAGGGGGCGACGGAACUGG
rnacentral:rRNA from 1 species